UACGUAGGGGGCGAGCGUUGUCCGGAAUCACUGGGUGUAAAGGGUCUGCAAGCGGACCUGCAAGUCAGAGGUGAAAUCCUACAGCUCAACUGUAGAACUGCCUUUGAAACUGUUGGUCUUGAGUCCGGGAGAGGAUGGCGGAAUUCCUGGUGUAGCGGUGAAAUGCGUAGAUAUCAGGAAGAACACCGGUGGUGAAGACGGCCAUCUGGACCGGUACUGACGCUCAGAGACGAAAGCGUGGGUAGCAAACAGG
rnacentral:rRNA from 1 species